rnacentral:sRNA from 1 species
GCCAGGCAUGGUGGUGCAUGCCUGUAAUCCCAGCAACUCAGGAGGCUGAGGCAGGAGGAUCUCAAGUUUGAGGCCAGACAUGGCAACUUAGAGAGAACCUGUCUCAA